GCCACGGUGGUCUAGCGGUUAGAACGCUGGCCUUGUAAUCCUGGGGUAACGGGUUCGAUUCCCGGCGGUGCCC
rnacentral:tRNA from 1 species